rnacentral:rRNA from 1 species
AUGCUUGCAUAAAUGAUUUUUGGAUUCGGAGCGAGUGGCGAACUGGUGAGUAACACGUGGGUAACCUGCCCCGAAGCGGGGGAUAACAUUUGGAAACAAGUGCUAAUACCGCAUAAUUAGUUGGAACCGCAUGGUUCCAACUUGAAAGAUGGCUCUGCUAUCACUUUGGGAUGGACCCGCGCCGUAUUAGUUAGUUGGUGAGAUAAAAGCCCACCAAGACGAUGAUACGUAGCCGACCUGAGAGGGUAAUCGGCCACAUUGGGACUGAGACACGGCCCAGACUCCUACGGGAGGCAGCAGUAGGGAAUCUUCCACAAUGGACGAAAGUCUGAUGGAGCAACGCCGCGUGAGUGAUGAAGGUUUUCGGAUCGUAAAACUCUGUUGUUAAAGAAGAACAAGUGUUAGAGUAACUGUUAACACUUUGACGGUAUUUAACCAGAAAGCCACGGCUAACUACGUGCCAGCAGCCGCGGUAAUACGUAGGUGGCAAGCGUUGUCCGGAUUUAUUGGGCGUAAAGCGAGCGCAGGCGGUUUUGUAAGUCUGCUGUGAAAGCCCUCAGCUCAACUGAGGAAGUGCAGUGGAAACUACAAAACUUGAGUACAGAAGAGGAAAGUGGAACUCCAUGUGUAGCGGUGAAAUGCGUAGAUAUAUGGAAGAACACCAGUGGCGAAGGCGGCUUUCUGGUCUGUUACUGACGCUGAGGCUCGAAAGCAUGGGUAGCGAACAGGAUUAGAUACCCUGGUAGUCCAUGCCGUAAACGAUGAAUACUAGGUGUUGGGAGGGUUUCCGCCCUUCAGUGCCGCAGCUAACGCAUUAAGUAUUCCGCCUGGGGAGUACGACCGCAAGGUUGAAACUCAAAGGAAUUGACGGGGGCCCGCACAAGUGGUGGAGCAUGUGGUUUAAUUCGAUGCUACGCGAAGAACCUUACCAGCUCUUGACAUCUUCUGCCAACCCAAGAGAUUGGGCGUUCCCUUCGGGGACAGAAUGACAGGUGGUGCAUGGUUGUCGUCAGCUCGUGUCGUGAGAUGUUGGGUUAAGUCCCGCAACGAGCGCAACCCUUAUUAUUAGUUGCCAGCAUUUAGUUGGGCACUCUAGUGAGACUGCCGGUGAUAAACCGGAGGAAGGUGGGGACGACGUCAAAUCAUCAUGCCCCUUAUGAGCUGGGCUACACACGUGCUACAAUGGAUGGUACAACGAGUCGCGAAACCGCGAGGUCAAGCUAAUCUCUUAAAGCCAUUCUCAGUUCGGAUUGCAGGCUGCAACUCGCCUGCAUGAAGUUGGAAUCACUAGUAAUCGUGGAUCAGCAUGCCACGGUGAAUACGUUCCCGGGCCUUGUACACACCGCCCGUCACACCAUGAGAGUUUGUAACACCCAAAGA